rnacentral:rRNA from 1 species
AUUGAACGCUGGCGGCAGGCUUAACACAUGCAAGUCGAGCGGGGUGAUGGUGCUUGCACUAUCACUUAGCGGCGGACGGGUGAGUAAUGCUUAGGAAUCUGCCUAUUAGUGGGGGACAACAUCUCGAAAGGGAUGCUAAUACCGCAUACGUCCUACGGGAGAAAGCAGGGGAUCACUUGUGACCUUGCGCUAAUAGAUGAGCCUAGGUCGGAUUAGCUAGUUGGUGGGGUAAAGGCCUACCAAGGCGACGAUCUGUAGCGGGUCUGAGAGGAGGAUCCGCCACACUGGGACUGAGACACGGCCCGGACUCCUACGGGAGGCAGCAGUGGGGAAUAUUGGACAAUGGGGGGAACCCUGAUCCAGCCAUGCCGCGUGUGUGAAGAAGGCCUUAUGGUUGUAAGGCAUUUUAAGCGAGGAGGAGGCUCUUUUGGUUAAUACCCAAGAUGAGUGGACGUUACUCGCAGAAUAAGCACCGGCUAACUCUGUGCCAGCCGCCGCAGUAA